rnacentral:rRNA from 1 species
UACGUAGGGGGCUAGCGUUGUCCGGAUUUAUUGGGCGUAAAGAGCGUGUAGGCGGCUUGGCAAGUCUGCUGUGAAAACUCGAGGCUCAACCUCGAGCUGUCGGUGGAAACUGCUUGGCUAGAGUCCGGAAGAGGAGGGUGGAAUACCCAGUGUAGAGGUGAAAUCGUAGAUAUUGGGUGGAACACCGGUGGCGAAAGCGGCUCUCUGGUCCGGACCUGACGCUGAGGCGCGAAAGCGUGGGGAGCAAACAGG